AACACCGAUAAGUUGAACGCAUAUUGCGCAUCGUGCGACACAGCUCGAUGUACACAUUUUUGAGUGCCCAUAU
rnacentral:rRNA from 1 species